rnacentral:rRNA from 1 species
UUUAUGGAGAGUUCGAUCCUGGCUCAGGAUGAACGCUGGCGGCGUGCCUAAUACAUGCAAGUCGAGCGAACAGACGAGAAGCUUGAUUCUCUGAUGUUAGCGGCGGACGGGUGAGUAACACGUGGAUAACCUACCUAAUAAGACUGGGAUAACUUCGGGAAACCGGAGCUAAUACCGGAUAAUAUUUUGAACCGCAUGGUUCAAAAGUGAAAGACGG